ACGUGCUGCAUCAGGUGCUUGUGACUGGGCUGUCGAAGUCAGGUACCUGAAGUAGUGCGCGG
rnacentral:pre_miRNA from 1 species